rnacentral:lncRNA from 1 species
UCAUUUGAUCCCUGCAGGCCGGCCGCAGUGUCUGUCUGGGGGAGGAUCCGGAUGCUCAAGUUUUAAUCUAGGAAAAGCUGCUUGAGAUCGUUUCUUUUCCGCUAUGUUAGCCAUCCCUGUUAGAGAGGGACUGGAGUCGAAAAGGCCUUUUUUUGGUUUUAAACUAGGUUUUACUCCCUUUCUGUUAUAUUUUUGGUUAAGUGGAAUCAGAUUGGAAUGGGAAGUGCUGGAGUUGCUUUCCAAAAGAUCCAAAUUGCGGGUGACUUUUUUUUUUUUUUUUUGAAACUAACAAAGCCUGUUGAAAUCAAGAGAACUCCUUGAGGUGGCACACCCUGCACUAGAGACUGAGUCAGGCUUGGAGUUCAAAGCUAGCCUGGGCUACACAGAUCAGAACAAGAGAACAGUUAGCAGAGUUCAAAGUGAGGGCAGUGGUAGAAAGAAAAAAAAAUCAGAAUAAGCCUUGUAAAGGAAUCGUAAUUGUAGAAGCUUUAUUCUGUCCUAGGUCAUUAUUCAAGAUCCAAGCAGUUUGGGAUUAUAAGCAAGCCCAGUGGAAAUAACACAUAGGAGCCACAUUAUUAUCCUUAUUAGACUUAGCCUUAAAAUCUCCUAAAGAUUGGGUUUUGGCCAUUAUUACAGAUUGAAAACAAAAGAAAACUGGUUAUUUCUAGAAGUGUUUUAGACUUGUAUCAGUUGCUUCAUUUGCAAGUGGAGUAAAGUAGUCAAAUGAGAAGGCCUGGCUCACUGUAGUAUUGCACUGAAAAGCCAGAGGCCUUUUAAAGGUCUUGGUGGGUCUACUCAGUUGAAUGUUUUUCUUUCUAGUUGUGCUGGUUUAGCAGUGGUAUUAAUAAGUCACCCAAAUUCUGCCUACUGAAUGUAGAUACCCAAAGAAUUCCAGUAAAAUUUCUGGCCAUGAUCACUGCAGGGUGGGUUUGUCUCAGGGCCAUGAAGCUUAGUCUAACGGUUGUCCUGGAAUGUGUCCUCAGUGUCCCCAAGUUCAGAAACACGGGUGUAGGCCACCACACCAGGUUCUAACAGAAGAGGGGAUUACCUUGUGGGGUUCCUGCUACCUCUCCCAAUAUUGGCAGGUCUUGAAAUGAAAUUCUUUAAAAUAACUUGAAAUUUCUCCAAUUUUCUAGUGGUUUACAGGAAAUAAGGAAAUGAGAUCUUGCAGAGCAUGGUGGCUCAUGCCUUUAAUCCCAGCACUCUGGAAACAGAAAGAGAGGCCUCCAGCACAGCCAAGGCUAUAUAAAAGAAACCCUGUCUCG